UCUCGGCAGCCACGUUCCCAAUUUACUAUCUCGUAGGGGUCCAGCGCCCCAACGAAAAGUAUGUUUAUCCGCUGUGGCCGGGUUCAAAUUCGUGAUGCCGGGUAGCUCAGCCGAGGUUCCUGUACCUCAGCUAAGCAUUUUUAUUGAGCAUAAGUAAUCUUUAAACAAUUAAUCGUGAGAUGUUUCUCUUGCGUAUAUAUGUAAUCGAUCGGUGAUAGAUCUUCGGCUUAUGAAGAUAAAGGAAGAGUUAAAAGGGGAAGAUCAUAGAGAGUUCAGCUUAAUUCCAAAGGCCUUUGGUCUGCUGGAACUGGAAGCGAAGUGCUUGGGAGAGUUCGAGUGGAGAUGACUUCAGCUGAUCUCCUAAAGCAGAUUCUGCAACUCAGGGAAGCUUGUGAUGUUCUUUUCAGAACCUGAUUACAACAAUGAAACGAAUGCUCUGGUUAACAAAGAUUGUGAGCUUGGUCGAGGCGGUCAAAAAGUUCAUGUUCGAGUUUGGUCUCAUCGCCCAAUGUGGUCACUCUUUUUUUGGAUUACAGGUCGACAAAGAUAGUGAACUCGCAGAUGUUGAAGCGGUUAGUGCUGGAAACAACUACGAACUAGGCAAUAUGAUUGCCGAAGCAAUGGCCAAAGUUGGUUGUAAAGGUGUUGUCACUCUCUAGGAAGGAAAAAGCUUCGUGAUACUAUUACAGUUGCUGCUUAGACUCCUGGAUUUGGAGAGAGGAAGAGUCAGUACCUUGACGACAUUGCUGCUCUUGUGGGAGCUAGCAUGCUGCGACACAUGAUGUGCAUAUUUUUCAAACAAUGUAGCGAUAUUAAUGGCAUCUCCAAAGUCACGGAGAGAAUCGGAUAACAAUGUCAACCAAUGACAACAAUCCCUGUAUAGUGGAUCAUCAAGAGUUUUCCUGCCGAUUAAUGUAAGCCUUGUGUUCACUUGGAAGACUUGAACCUGUUAUGUACACACUCAUCUUGUUCUUCUCAAGUCCGUCGGGAACCUUACAAGCCAACAAAUUCAUUGUCAUAAGCUUUGUACUUAUGAAGCAGUUAAUAUAUUAUUAUUAGUGGUAGUAAGUGCUUAUGAUACCUUAGAGAGGUAAUGAAGACUGUAGUUUGAAUGAACGAAAUGGAGACUCUUGCGAGGAAAGAGCCUUGAGUAAAAGGAACCAG